AUGCCCAAUGGACAUGCUAGUUGGGAAAUGUUGACACAAGUGGUCUCAUGCAUGGGAAAGCUUGCCCUAGCGAUGUACAACAUGAUGUCAAGAGAAUUGUCUAACGACAACAAAGAAAUCCUCAUCAAGGAUGGAUAUCUACCACUUGAAGCAGGUUCCCGUCUGUUUGCCUACCGUCAUUAUACAGGCACACCGGUCGCGAAGCCAACUCUGGCGCCCGCAUUGACACACCCCGCCACCGCUUGGCCUGGCCGGUGUCUGCCAUUUACACCAGGUCACACUCGGCACAAACCACACCACGUCCAUUUCACAUCCUCCUCUGUGGACCACCUCCGCCAUGACCAGGUCGGCCUGCCGGCCUACUCCUCGAAGGUCUCUGACGAUGACCCGAUGAUGGAGACAGCCUCUGACGACGAGUCGGCGCCCCUACUAGCCCUGUUCCAUGUUGUCUCGAUCAUGGAGCAUGCGCAAGGUGCGCUUCAAGGAUGCCAUGGCGGAGCAGCAGCCGGCGCCACAGUCGAUGUCAGAGUUCCGGCAAGCGCAGGAGGAACAUGGUACAACUUUUCUCUCCUCAAGCAGCAUCGGCCGACAGAAGGCCAAAUCUACGGCCAGCUCGUGAGCGAGGAGGCCGAGGCGGCCAAGGCCGCGGAGAACCCAACUUCAUCACUGAGCAAAGGGUGUUGCGGCGGAGGCGGCCAAGGCCGCGGAGAACCCAACUUCAUCACUGAGCAAAGGGUGUUGUACAAGGCCGCGACACUCAUGCUGCCUGCAACACAGACCGACGUGGAGGCGCCGGAGGCGGCCAAGGCCGUGGAGAACCCCAACUUCGUCACCAAGCAAAGGGUCUUGUACAAGGCCGCGCCCGGUCGCGCCGCGGUCGCAACACAGUCGGACGCGGAGGUGGCGCAGGCGAUCGCGGACGAGAAUGUCGGCAGCUGCGCACCCUUAGCGCCGCCAAUGAAGUUUUGGUGGUGCCGGUUCUACGACGAGGCACGUCUGUCCAUGUCCAUCAUCGAUCUCACACACGGCGUGGAUGGGCAUCGCAACGGUAAGGAAUUCCCUUGUCCGCCCCCAAUUCGAGACGGAAGCACCGCACAGCAGCCGACCUCGCACGCCUACCCCUGCCCCUGCCCGCUCCGGAUCCUUCCAUCCAUCACAAACCCACCAGCUCCACUUUCCUUUUAUUUCCCGCCGCCACGCCACGCGCACCUCGGCGAAGGACAAGGCUCCGGCUGCCGCCACCGCCUCUGCCCCGGCUAUAAAGCCGCGCCCUUUGGCCGGCCCGCUCCUCCUCCUCCUCGCUUCGCCCGGGCCAUGCCUUCCUCCUCCUCGCCGCGCACUGCCCGGUCUGCUCCUCCUCCUCUCCUCGCCCUGGCCGUGCCUUCCUCCUCCUCGCCGCGCCCUGCCCGGUCCGCUCCUCCACCUCCUCUCUUCGCCCCGGCCGCGCCUUCCUCCUCCUCGCCGCGCUCCCGCCGGUCCGCUGCUCCUCCACCCUUCGUCCGGGCCGUGCAGUCGCGUCCGGAUUUGAUUUUGCUCGCCGUCACCGUCGCCGUCGCCGUUCGUCAGUUUAGAGUCGCUUCUGAGUUGAUUUUGCGCUUCCCCGCCGUCGUCGGUUUAGAGUCGCUUCUGAUUUGGUUCUGCUCGUCCACGCCGUCGGCCGUUUUCGUCUUGCUCGUCCUCGCAGUUGCCCCGACGCGCUCGCAUGUUCUUGGUCCUGUCUCGUCGAGGGUCUCCCGUCUGGACAAGUAUGUUGCUCUUUCCAGGACCGGUAAUUCUGAUAGUAUGCCAAGGACUGCUCAGGGUUCCUAUCGCUUUCUGUUUUACCAACUAAGUAUUUUCCUGACUCUGAAAUUUGGUGAUAAAGAAAAGAAUCCAGGGUGGAUGGAGGUUUUCAUAAUGGCUAAUUUGAUUUGUUAUGGUUCUGAUGGUGUGCUUCUUGUGUUUGAACUGAAGCUGUGGAUCACUCAUCAACCUGGUCAGCUUCCAGAACUUCCUGCUGCUGAUCCUGGGAUGUUUCCGAACAUGCUCCUGAACAUGUUACUCGGCAUGCUCGGCGUGUUUACUUCGGUGGACUUCCUCCGAUCACUAAUGAACAGGUGGCAUAAUCAUCUGAAUCCAAACAUAUGGAACGAUGCUUGGACUACUGAGGAGGAACAUGCACUGAUUAAUGCCAUCAGUGCAUGCCAGGAACUUCAUGAUUCCUUUCUCAAGCUGUAUGAGAUUUGUCGACACGGCGUCGCAAUUGCAGUCGUCGCGGUGGUGAAUUGCGGUGUCAUGGUAGGGUUCCCAAAUGUUGGAGCUGUUGCGAUGGGGAGGGCCGUAGUGUGCGUGGGAUUAAUUGUGGCGAGCGUCGUGGCCACGACCGCAAUAGGGCCAUGGGGAGGGCCGUAG
rnacentral:rRNA from 1 species